rnacentral:rRNA from 1 species
GUCUGCAACUCGACUGCGUGAAGGUGGAGUCGCUAGUAAUCGCGGAUCAGCAACGCCGCGGUGAAUGCGUUCCCGGGCCUUGUACACACCGCCCGUCAAGUCAUGAAAGUGGGCAGCACCCGAAGACGGUGGCCUAACCCUUGUGGGGGAGCCGUCUAAGGUGAGGCUCGUGAUUGGGACUAAGUCGUAACAAGGUACC